GAAAUGCGAUAAGUAAUGUGAAUUGCAGAAUUCAGUGAAUCAUCGAAUCUUUGAACGCACCUUGCGCUCCUUGGUAUUCCUUGGAGCAUGCCUGUUUGAGUAUCAUGAAAUCUUCAAAGUAAAUCUUUUGUUAACUCAAUUGGUUUCUACUUUGGUAUUGGAGGUCUUUGCAGCUUCACACCUGCUCCUCUUUGUUCAUUAGCUGGAUCUCAGUGUUAUGCUUGGUUCCACUCGGCGUGAUAAGUUAUCUAUCGCUGAGGACACUGUAAAAGGUGGCCAAGGUAAAUGCAGAUGAACCGCUUCUAAUAGUCCAUUGACUUGGACAAUACUUUUAUGAUCUGAACUCAAAUCAGGUAGGACUACCCGCUUAACUUAAGC
rnacentral:misc_RNA from 1 species